rnacentral:misc_RNA from 1 species
GCCUUCUCAAACAAACCCCUCCUGAUAUAAUAAUCAGCAAGUGACGUCCACAAUCUGCCAACCUCAUCUGUAUACUUCCUAAUCCCACCUCUAAUAAUGGCAUCCACAUUCAACCCAGACACUUCCUUUGCAUGUCUAGUAAGCAAAUCACACAAUUCUACCCACAAUGUAUGCUUUGGUUUCCCCUUUAUUGAAUAAAAUUGAUCAUCAUUCAACACUGAAGCUAGUCUCUCAGCUGCUUCUUGCCAAAGACGAGAAUUCACCAAAAACUCAAUAAAAUCCUCAAUAUGACUAGGGUCAUACUUCAAGUACCUCCUAUAAACCCGAAG